rnacentral:siRNA from 1 species
UUAGAGAUGGUUACAUUUGGU